rnacentral:tRNA from 1 species
GGUCUCUUAGUUUAAUGGUAGAACAUGUCACUGUCGAUGACGUAGUAGGGGUUCAAUUCCCCUAGAGACCGCCA